GUAAACGUUAGCUCAGUGGUUAGAGCACAGGCCUCUGGCUCUCGGGCCCGCAAGUUCGAGUCCCGUCGUUUACA
rfam:Trichomalopsis sarcophagae strain Alberta scaffold3349, whole genome shotgun sequence.